GGGGUAGUGGCUCAGUGGUAGAGCACCCACCUAGCAUGGGUGAGGCACAAGGUUCAAUCCUUAGCACCACA
rnacentral:tRNA from 1 species